GACAUAUGCUCGUCUUGCAACGCAGCCCCUUCGACUCUGGGCUGGCUCGUAGGUC
rnacentral:sRNA from 1 species